ensembl:lncRNA
GAAGGCGUGUCCCCAGCCCUGGCGCUUAGGACACGGGGGUCCUUUAGGAGGUAGGACCUCCUAUAAGGAAGUGAGAUCACUGGGGCGUGGCCUGGGAGGGCCAUUGGGACCCCUACCCUACCUCUACCCUCUCCCAUUUUGCUUCUUCCCAGCUACCUGAGGUAAACCGAGGUUUGCUGCCAUGCACUAUACCAUGAUCUCCCAUGAGGCCACAGCACAAGAACAAGAUCCAUGGACUGGCCCCUCUGAAACUGUAAGCCAAAAACAAACCUUUCCUCCUUGAAAGAUUGGAUUAUCUCAGGUAUUUUAUCACAGUGACAGAAAGCUAGAAAACACAGUAAGGUCCAACUGUCACCAAUCCAUUGAGAGUUCUUGUGUUCCAUUCAGACGGCCAUCGGGAUGGCUGCGGGCUUGAGCACCAGUGUCCUGGGCCCCUAGCACCACGGCUCUCCACAGCGCCUGGCCACCCUGUAUCGGCCAGCGUUCCAUCACUGGGACACCACACCUGACCUCACAGCUUAAAGGACGAGUUUAAUUUGGCCCAUGGGGCCUCAGUCCAUGGUCGGUGCUCCAAGGCAGGAACACGCUGGAGGGUGUUGUGAAGCGAAGGCACCUAAGUCCCAGGAAUUCCAGAAAGAGAGGAGACGCAGCACAGGGUGGAGGGGACGUCUGAGACAUGGUGGCCAAUGACACGGAGCACAGAUCCACGAAUCCCAGCAGCUCUCUCUUCCCACGCCAGCUCCAGGUGGCGUCAUGAAAAGCCCAAGCCCAUGUGGACACUGGGCUGCCUGGAACUCGUGUCCGAGCUGGAUGCAGGGACACGGCACUCUCCAAGCAGCGCUUGCUGGGUGCAGCGACAGGACGGACUCGGCUGGUCCUCAGCACUCGGGGUCACGGCUUUGCCAGCUCCACAGGGGGGCACACGAGGGCCUCGAAGUGGGAGAGCCCCAGGGUCACAAGCCAGCUCCUCCAUGCUGAUGGCUCAGGAGCCAUGUCUUGUCUUCCAGGGCACGCUGGACAGAUCCUUGAGGCAACUCAGGCCGUUGUCCUCAGCCCAGAUCCCGCCCAACACCACUUCCUGUUCCCACAAGAGCCCCUGUGUGAUAAUGCCUGCCUGC